GCAAAAAGCCAGAGAUAACAGAGCUGCUUUACGCAUCAAUAAAGUUCAGAUGUCAAAUGAUUCUAUGAAGAGGCAACAACAGCAAGACAGCAUCGAUCCCACCUCACGCAUCGAUUCGGAUCUUUUUAAAGAUCCUUUAAAGCAGAGGGAAUCAGAGCAUGAACAGGAAUGGAAGUUUAGACAGCAAAUGCGUCAGAAAAGUAAGCAGCAAGCUAAAAUUGAAGCCACACAGAAGCUGGAACAAGUGAAGAAUGAACAGCAGCAGCAGCAGCAGCAACAGCAACAACAACAACAACAACAACAACAACAACA
rnacentral:lncRNA from 1 species